rnacentral:rRNA from 1 species
UACGUAGGGUGCAGGCGUUUAAUCGGAAUUACUGGGCGUAAAGCGUGCGCAGGCGGUUUUCUUAAGUCAGAUGUGAAAGCCCCGGGCUUAACCUGGGAACUGCGUUUGAAACUGGGAGACUUGAGUGUGGCAGAGGGGGGGUGGAAUUCCACGUGUAGCAGUGAAAAUGCGUAGAUAUGUGGAGGAACACCGAUGGCGAAGGCAGCCCCCCUGGGUUAACACUGACGCUCAUGCACGAAAGCGUGGGGAGCAAACAG